AAAAUGAGUGGCUGAUUUCUUAGGGAAGGGUGAUGGAGGAACCUUUGAUGUAUUGCUCUUUGAAGUAAACUCUAAACUUUUGCUUUGAAUGACUUAUAUUUCCUGAUAUAUUCUUGAUCCAUGCGUAGUUAUUUCGUAGAUAGCUUUUUAAUGGAUUAUGAUUAUUGAUAUAUGGAUUGCUUUAGUAUUUGAUUCGUCGUAGACGUAGAAAGUACAAUGAAUGCUUAGAAAUUGAGUUCAUAUGUUCAUGAAACAUAUACCAUGAUUAGAUCUAUCCUACAGUUAAUCUUUAAUCAAGAACCAUAGAGUUUAUUUCUUGGAAGCAAUAUCAUCAAGGGGGAUUCCAGAUCCCUGCCAUCUUUAUUUCAUAG
rnacentral:lncRNA from 1 species